UGUAUUAAGCAAUUAACCGUCUGUUCUCACUUCACUGCUGUUGCGUGCUUGUUUAAGUGCCGGUAUCCAACAAUAAGACUGACACAUGCAAUAUAUAUGUACACAGAAACCAAGGCUUAUAAAGCAUUUGAAGCCUUAACUCCAAGUUAAUGUAAUGGUACUUCCGCCAUGGAACCGUGGGCUGACGAUGCCAGAACGCGGAUCCAUGGUGGACGUGCCUGAACCGUUUUGGAUAGGGGCACGCGAAAAUAGUUCCCAAUCCCAAUGUAAUGGUAAAAAUGUGAGGGCUGGUUAACACAACUAUGGUAAAUAUACCAAUGCACCUCUUUGCCUUGAGCUGUGAUAAGCAGGCUGAUUUUGUGAGGGUGUGGGUAAGAGAACGAAAGGAGGGUUAGGAUACGGAUUUCGAUCUGUGGCUUUAAAUUUCCGUUUAGUAAUGGCUAAUUGAAAAAGAACAAUAUACAUGUAUGUAUAUAAAGAUCAUAGAUGGGCAAACCGAAAAGGUUAAAGGUAAAGCAGUUUGAGAUCAGUCUAAGUGUGAUGAUUAAGUUUGGUGUUUAUCUUCAUCAAUUGCAGCUCCAGACAACAUCAAGAUGUGGAAUGAUGAUACAAUAAAAAGAAUCCACCCCAGUCCCUCUUCUAUUGCGCUGGCGGACGAAGUGCCGACUACCUCCAAAAGUAGUCGGCACGCGACUCUCAAGAGUGGGCCAUCGAAGUGUUGGCUGUGUUGUGGUGUUUUAAAUUGAGAAGAUGAGAAUGAAGACUGAAGAAAGCAUUGUAAAAAGAAAGGCGCGUGUGCAGAAGGGGAAGCCUAGUUUCGGGGCCUGACCUCCUGCUUCAAGCAAACUUUUUUUUUUUUUUU